UACGGAGGGAGCGAACGUUGUUCGGAUUUACUGGGCGUAAAGGGUGUGUAGGCGGUCUUGCAAGUCAGGGGUGAAAUCCCUCGGCUCAACCGAGGAACUGCCUUUGAGACUGCAGGACUUGAGGGCGUGAGAGGAGACUGGAAUUCCUAGUGUAGCGGUGAAAUGCAUAGAUAUUAGGAGGAACACCAGUGGCGAAGGCGGGUCUCUGGGCAUCUCCUGACGCUGAGGCGCGAAAGCGUGGGGAGCAAACGGG
rnacentral:rRNA from 1 species